GUUAUCUUGGCAGAUAAGUGCAUUAAAUUUAGAAUUUAAUUAUGUGAUAGGCUCACAGUUAACA
rnacentral:tRNA from 1 species